rnacentral:rRNA from 1 species
UACGUAGGGUCCGAGCGUUGUCCGGAAUUAUUGGGCGUAAAGGGCUCGUAGGCGGUCUGUUGCGUCGGGAGUGAAAUCUUACAGCUUAACUGUGAACUUGCUUUCGAUACGGGCAAACUAGAGUACUGCAGGGGAGACUGGAAUUCCUGGUGUAGCGGUGAAAUGCGCAGAUAUCGGGAAGAACACCCGUGGCGAAGGCGGUUCUCUGGGACGGUACUGACGCUGAGACGCGAAAGCGUGGGGAGCGAACAGG